CUGCUGAGCGUGAGUACGUUGCGUCGCGGGGCGGGGCGGACGAGCGGUGUCUGUCAGGGUUUCAGCUCUACGCCCCCGACCGCCGCCCCCUCCCCUGCGGUAGCGUCGUUUCCUCCUCUCGCCCGCUCUGAGAGGGGACAAGUGACAGCCCGGGCUCCGGGUGGCGGUUUAGCCUCCGGGCAUCUCUCCUCAGCCGACUCUCUGAGCUAGCUGCUGUUCUCGAGCGGGUCCCGGCCAGGGGAAGAUGGCGGCCGCGCCCCGCGGCAUCUGGGAGCAGCGGCGCCUGGGCUGUGGGUUGGGACCCCUCGCACGGUUGCUCAUCCUUGCGCAGGCGCUGCGGCUGCUGCCCGCUGCCCGAGCCGGCCUGUGCCCGGCGCCCUGCGCCUGCCGUCUUCCUCUGCUGGACUGCAGUCGCAGGAAGCUGCCCGCGCCCAGCUGGAGGGCACUGUCGGGCCCGCUGCCCUCCGACAUCUCCAGCCUGGAUUUGAGUCAUAACCGGUUGUCUAACUGGAACAACACCUUGGAAUCACAAACAUUACAAGAAGUGAAAAUGAAUUACAAUGAGCUAACAGAGAUACCAUAUUUUGGAGAACCAACACCUAAUAUUACUCUACUUUCAUUGGUGCAUAAUUUAAUCCCAGAAAUAAAUGCAGAAGCAUUCGAGCUUUAUUCUGCUCUUGAGAGUUUAGACCUCAGUUCCAAUAUAAUAUCAGAAAUCAAGACAUCUUCAUUUCCUCGAAUGUCACUGAAAUACCUGAAUUUGAGCAAUAAUAGGAUAAGCACCUUGGAGGCUGGCUGCUUUGACAACUUAUCAGAUUCUUUAUUAGUGGUAAAACUGAACCGGAACCGAAUUAGCAUGAUUCCACCCAAGGUCUUCAAGCUGCCUCAUCUCCAGUUCUUGGAACUGAAAAGAAACAGGAUUAAAAUUGUAGAAGGCCUUACCUUCCAAGGGCUUGAUUCUUUACGCUCAUUGAAAAUGCAGCGGAAUGGAAUUAGCAAACUCAAAGAUGGAGCAUUUUUUGGCUUGAAUAAUAUGGAAGAAUUAGAACUGGAACAUAAUAACCUUACAGGAGUGAACAAGGGGUGGCUAUAUGGCUUGCGAAUGUUACAGCAACUGUAUAUGAGCCAGAAUGCUAUUGAAAAAAUCAGCCCCGAUGCAUGGGAGUUCUGCCAGAGACUGUCUGAACUGGAUUUGUCCUAUAACCAGCUGACCCGCCUUGAUGAAUCUGCCUUUGUGGGUCUGAGCUUACUGGAGAGAUUGAAUUUAGGGGACAAUAGAGUCACUCACAUUGCUGAUGGUGUAUUUAGGUUUCUUUCCAAUCUUCAGACAUUAGAUUUGAGAAACAAUGACAUUUCAUGGGCCAUAGAAGAUGCUAGCGAAGCCUUUUCUGGACUCAAAAGUCUCACUAAGUUAAUCUUGCAAGGAAACCGGAUUAAGUCAGUUACACAGAAAGCAUUCAUUGGCCUUGAGUCCCUUGAGUAUCUAGAUUUGAACAACAAUGCUAUAAUGUCUAUCCAAGAAAAUGCUUUUUCUCAGACUCACUUAAAGGGACUUGUUCUGAACACAAGCAGUUUGCUCUGCGAUUGUCAUUUGAAGUGGUUACUUCAGUGGCUGGUGGAUAACAAUUUCCAUCAUUCUGUGAAUGUAAGCUGUGCACAUCCUGAAUGGUUAGCGGGGCAAAGCAUCUUGAAUGUGGACCUGAAAGAUUUUGUCUGUGAUGAUUUUCUGAAGCCUCAGAUAAGGACACACCCUGAAAGCACAAUUGCAUUAAGAGGUGUUAAUGUGACACUGACGUGCACUGCAGUGAGCAGCAGCGAUUCACCCAUGUCCACCAUAUGGCGCAAGGACAGUGAGAUCCUGUAUGAUGUGGAUAUUGAGAAUUUUGUUCGUUAUCGGCAGCAGGAUGGAGAAGCUCUAGAAUAUACUAGUGUCUUGCGCCUCUUCAGUGUGAACUUCACAGAUGAAGGGAAAUACCAGUGCAUUGUUACUAAUCACUUUGGUUCUAAUUAUUCUCAGAAAGCCAAAUUGACUGUAAAUGAGAUGCCGUCUUUUUUGAAAACUCCAAUGGAUCUAACUAUUCGCACUGGUGCCAUGGCAAGAUUAGAAUGUGCUGCAGAGGGGCACCCUACACCUCAGAUUUCCUGGCAGAAGGAUGGUGGCACUGAUUUUCCUGCAGCCCGAGAAAGACGCAUGCAUGUCAUGCCUGAGGAUGAUGUCUUCUUCAUUGCCAAUGUGAAGAUAGAAGAUAUGGGAAUCUAUAGCUGCAUGGCACAGAAUAUAGCAGGAGGCCUCUCAGCAAACGCCUCACUCACAGUGUUAGAGACACCCUCGUUUAUUAGGCCUCUGGAGGACAAGACCGUCACCCGAGGUGAGACAGCGGUAUUGCAGUGCAUCGCUGGAGGAAGUCCUGCUCCUCGCCUCAAUUGGACCAAGGAUGAUGGGCCACUCCUAGUAACAGAACGACACUUCUUUGCUGCAGCCAAUCAGCUUCUCAUCAUUGUAGAUGCUGGGCUAGAAGAUGCUGGAAAAUAUACCUGCCUUAUGUCUAACACUCUUGGGACAGAACGGGGACAUAUUUACUUAAAUGUCAUUUCAUCCCCCAAUUGUGACUCUUCUCAGAGUAGCAUUGGGCAUGAGGAUGAUGGUUGGACCACAGUUGGCAUUGUCAUCAUUGUUGUGGUCUGCUGUGUCGUGGGCACAUCUUUGAUCUGGGUCAUUGUCAUUUACCACAUGAGAAGGAAAAAUGAAGACUACAGCAUCACAAACACAGCUGUCUGAGUUUGAGAGUUACAGAUGUCUCUUUACAGAGGAGCUUAAUUUGCCUGCAGACAUUCCCAGCUAUUUGUCUUCACAAGGAACAUUGUCUGAACCACAGGAAGGCUACAGCAACUCUGAGGCAGGCAGCCAUCAGCAACUUAUGCCUCCUGCCAACGGGUACACACACAGAGGCACUGACGGUGGCGCUGGUACCCGGGUGAUCUGUUCAGAUUGUUACGACAAUGCCAACAUCUACUCGAGGACCAGAGAGUACUGUCCAUAUACCUAUAUUGCUGAGGAGGAUGUGUUAGAUCAGGCACUCUCCAGCCUCAUGGUCCAGAUGCCCAAGGAGACGUUUUUGUCACAUCCUCCCCAAGAUGCUGCUAAUCUGGAGAGUCUGAUACCAUCAGCAGAGAGAGAGCCGGCUGCCUUUCCCACCAACCAUGAGAGGAUGACUGAGAACCUUCCCUUCUCACAGAGGAGCAGUGAAAUAUUUCAGCGGCCUCUUUGGAACAUGAACAGAGAACUGGGCCUACUUCCCUUCUCCCAGCAGCCUGUCCUUGAGUCACCAGAGCUGACAGAGAGGGAUCCAAAUUGCUCUUCACCUGUGACUUGCCGCAGGUUACAUGACCAUGCUUUUGAUUUUAGUAGGACUCGGAUCAUUCAAGAUGGUACUGAGGGCACAUGAAGCCCGUUGAGGAGGAAGUCUGAGCAAAGACUCAAGUUAGUUAUUUACUACCUCAGAAUUGAGAAGAAAAGUCAGUAUUUGUAUUUCUCUUUGCUUCAAGUUACAUCUGACCACAUCAGCGUAGCUCUGGUGUUUGGGCUUACACCUGGCAAAGAGAAGGUAGUGGCUGACAGAAGUGUACCACAGAAAUGUGUACCACGUUGAAAGUGCACAGCCCUGGCAGAAGACAACAUGGGCAGGUGUCCUUCCUGAUCCCCACCGGGAUGUGCCCAGGCAUGCACUGCCUGUCAUGAAGAGUCAUUGCUGCUUAGCCUACUGGAUUGUUCCAGUCCUCAGAAUGGUCCUGAGAAAGCGUCUCUACUUUGAUAUCCUACUUUGCUUGGAAAAGCACAGGGCAGAGAUAUCUUCUGAGCUUUCCUAAGUAUAACAAGGAUUCUCCAGUGGUGUUGAGCAGAGAAGAGCUGCUGAGGCUUUGAUAUUCAAGGUCUUUAGCUAGAAUCUAAGUUUCACCAACUGGUAGUACCAGAUCAAAGGCUUUUGUAUUCUUUGUGUGUGUGUGUGUGGUGGGUUUGUUUUGUCUGUAUAACUGGGGAUGUCAUUGUAAAUAUAUGUGCAUUCAUAAAUAAUUUUUCUACUCAUUGACCUUGUGUGUUGGAUACAGUGUAAAUAUUUUUGAUAUGCCCAAAUUAUAUAUAAUGUCUGUCUGGUUACUGUAUGGGCAGCGGCUUCUCCAGAUCACAGAUUUUAUAUAACUUAGUGUAGUGAGGUCUGCAAACUCUGUUUAAAGUUCUAGAAUUGUGUGUUACCACGUGUAUGUAUAAAGGCAGGGUACUUAGUGAUUGUGUGCUCAUAGACUCAGUCUUGGUAUAAUUAACUGCCUGCUUCAUGCCUGAAGUUCUGUGCAUCUUGUACUUACUGUCUCUUUACAAGUGCCAGGUGAUCCUCUUGUCUUGCUCUUCCAGAGCCCAGCAGUGUUGCCACAGCCCUGUGAGCACAGAAGAUGACUUAUUUCAGCAAAAUACUUUGAUGACAAGGAAACCAAAGAUUGGCCUUUUUUAUGUUUACUCUGUUUUCAGUCUCCUUCACGAAUGUAGCAUAUUAAGAAGGGAAGUGUGCUCUUGGGAGUAGAUCACACAAAAGUUCCUGUACUCUGUCAAUUUAGUGUGGUUCUGUCUUUAUACAAGUAUUAUUUAAGCCAAACAGCUUUCUGAAUUUUUGAUAGCAAAAAGCUUUAUGUAAACAAAGAAUGUUAACACUAAUGAAAUGUCAUGUGCUUUCAGUCUGUCCUAUGAGUAUAAUACCAGCUUCCUGCUCUCAACUUUUAAAGGUGUCUAUUUAUAAGUAACUGUAUAUAUACAGAGUUCCAAACUCACAGCUUCUUAGCUUUUUGUCAGAAAGUUCAGGUGAAUUUCUGACAUUUUUUUCCCAUGCUUUUUUUUUCAAACCUAAGUUUUCUUCCUCAGACAGCAGCACUGUUUGCUUUUGAAACUUUCGCUUUUUAUUUAAACAUGUUUUCUUCAUUUCCACUUUGAACAUUUAAAAUGUAUAGUGCUCUCAUCUGUUUAGACUGUAUGCCUUCUUUUAGGCUGUAUUCCAGGUUUUUUACUGGUAUGACAAGGCAUUAAGAGCCUGCUCCCUUGGCACUGCUCGUGCUGGCUGUGUGUCUGAGUCUUACUGAUAGAAAGAGACUGUUUAUUAGCUGCUCUAAGCUGCUCUCCAGUUCCCGCCAGGAACCAAAGAGGAUUGUGCCACUUGAGUGAAGAGCUGCCUUUGUGAACUGUUAGCUAGAUCAAGGGUGAUGCUGCUCCAUCUAACUUGAGCUGUAUUUAUCUUGCCAAUACAAGACUUAACGGUCUAAGACAUGCUCAGGGGAGGAAAAAAUGUUCUGCUUCUAAACACUGUCAGUAAACAAAAAACUCACAUCCGAAUUGGAAAAGUUGUCUUUUGUCUGGAAGCUGCUGCUCACAGGAGGCUCAGGAUGGAGGUAUACAGCAGCUCAUUUAUAGCUGGCCAUCCCACUUUGUCUGUGGUCAGAGUUCUGUGCCCUCACGGAGAGCCCAGGGUAGUCAGGGUAGAGAGCAGGCCUUGACCUGGUCCUCUAGAAACACCUUACCCAAGAUAUCGCCUCCAAGCUCCAGCUGUGGCCCUUCUGCUGCGGUGUCCAUUGGAUCUCCUGAGAAUUGGGGAGAUGUUGACCUGCCUGCGCUUCCAGAUCCCUGGCUGGCCUGAGUAACUGAUUAGGAACCCAUUUACAGACGAGAAGAGCCUGCCUCUGCUCCUGAAAUAACAACAGAAGAUUCUUACCCUAGAGAAUUUGGUUUCACGUUUGACCAUAGGACUAGUGUCUGCUUAGUUAACAAAAUAAUCUUCUCUGUGUUCACAACUAAAAACAUGAAAUUAUGGCAUCAUUUUUCUGAAAAACAAAACCAAUCCUACAUUUCAGAUACAAAUGUCAGUGACAAACAAUUUAAGUAUAUGUUGUAUUAUACAUCUUUACUCUUGAUUUUAAUUUUUUUAUUUUUAGCAGCCACUGGCCUUGAACUCUCUUGUCUCUCCCUCCCAAAUGUGGAGACUAGAUAUAUCUGGCUAGAUUGAUUUUUGUUCUUGCCUAUAGAGCCAGCUGGAGUGGUAUUGGUAUUACAGUGUUCAGUUUAUAUUUUACCAAGUGUGUGAGGAUGGCCUUUUCUCAUAACACACUACAGGAGUAAGGAGUAGUAACAGGGAAAUGUGGCUGUUUCCCUCAGGACUGGGAUUCAACCAUCAGGUUCCUGAAUGCCCGGUACAUGUCCUCCCACUCAACUCAGGCCCUGUAUUUGUUCUCCUUAAGUGAGAUAUAGUUCAUCUUUGGGCCUUUUUUCCAGGCUUUUGGCAUUCCUAGGUAUUAAACCUAUAGCUUCCUAUAUACCAGGCAAGUGUUCUACCUCUAAGCUGCAGCCUCAGCUGAACUGUUGUUCAAAUUAAUGGGUGGUUAUAAGAACAAUGGGGCCAUGAAUAGUUGAGCUGUUUGCUUCUGUUAGAUCUCUUUCCCAGUCCAGUGUGGAGGUAUGCUCCCAUCUACUUUCAGCUUUUUGUUUGGAACAUGGUUAAAUAUACAGCAGUUAGUCUAGAUUUCCUCUCCUCUCCUCUCCUCUCUGCUCCUUUCCUUUCCUUUCCCCCUUUUUUUUUUUUUUUUUUUGGACAUCUGUCUGGUUCAUUGGCAGAAGUACCAAGUUCCUGAGGUAAGGCUGUAUUGGGGACAUCUGAAAAUGGAAGAAUUACUUGCAGGAUUGUGAGAAGGUGGGAGGUGAAAGGGUUGGUGUAUGAUGUCCUAGGAGUCAAGCCCAGGCAAGUGCUCUCAAGGCCGGUGUGCUGUAAGUUAGGGUUUGGAUCCUCUCCCUCUCAUUUGUAUAUUGUUUCCUCGAAGUCCUGAUAAUCAGGUGAAGAGCAGCGUGGCUUGUCUGCGCAUGUUGUUGGGUGUGAAGUGAUCUUGUAGCACCUGUAACUGUUUUCAAAGAGGAGCUGAUCUUCAGGUGGCCAAGUGUCCUUGAAGUAUUACCUGGCUGCUGGAGACGCCUCUUCACCCCUGCCUGACUUAUACUCCCUGCCACCCUCUGUUCUCUUGCCCAUUAGAGGGUGUCAGGCUGAGCAGCCCUGGUGUAAGGCGCCUCUAAAGGGAAGUACAAGCCAAGUGGUCUCAUGUGGCUGUUUCCUGGUAUCCUUUAUAUUUUCUCACAUAAGAAUGUAUAUUUUACAGAGCAUGUGUUCGUCCUGUCUACUGUAAUGUCAAUAAAGCUAAGACAUUAUGA